AAAAUCAAGAUCCAAGAACUUUCCAAGAACUUUAGAACCCACUUCAAACCAAAUUCUCGAACACGGUUUCGAAAGAGAGUCGAGGCAUUUGAGAGUCAAGACGGUCCGACUCACUUUCGAAAGAGAGAGGUUGGCGGAAUCUCUGAGCCACCGGCCAAUCCCAAUCCGUGGUAUGUUCAUCUUUCUGAUAUUUUCUUCGCGUUGAAUGCUCCCAUGUUUUCAUCUCUAGGGUUUUCUCUUCCUUUUUCCCACCGCCUCUCUGUUCCCUAGGGUUCCUCCAUUAUUUUAUAUCUGCCACAGAACUUCAAUCGCCUUGAAUAGUUCUACGAUUUCAUCAUUUUACCCUUUUGAAUUGUCCCUACUGUUAAUCGUCCGCGCUGGAAAUCUUUCGUUUUCAGCCAAUUCUAAUCGAUUUUAGAUUUUGGGUUGUUGAAUUCCUAUCUGGGUCAUGAUUGAUUCGGUGGAUUUCGCUCUUUUCGUGCAGAACGGGAAUCAAGAACCUCAAAUUUUCAUCUGGGUUUCUCUGAUUUCAGUCUGUUAAGAUUAUCGCGCUCGAAAUUUGGUCUGGGUCGAGGCCAAGUUUUGAAAUUUUGGUGCUUUUUCACUCGAUUGGAGCUUAUUCCUCUUUGGUCUUCGCGUUAUUCACCCUAAUGGACGACCAGGAGGUGUUUCCGGGUGCAAACAUGGGCGGUGAACUUGCGAGUAGUUGCUCAAUGGACAGCUUCUUCGAUGACCUGCUUAAGGACACUCAUGCUUGCACUCACGCCCACACUUGCAACCCACCCGGCCCUGAUUACUCCCACACACACACUUGCUUUCAUGUGCACACUAAAAUUCUGUCUUCAGCGAGUGAAGACAAGGCCGGAACUGAUGAUACUGCUGAGUCUGGGGAAAAGAAAUCAAAGAAGCAGCCUUUGGGUAAUAAGGUAGCAGUUCGUAAGUACCGCGAGAAGGAGAAGGCGCGGGUUAAGUUGUUGGAGGAUGAAGUUGUGAAUUUGAGAGCUGAAAAUAGGCGGUUGGUGAUGAGGUUGCAGGGUCAGCCUGCAUUGGAGGCUGAGAUUGCUAGGCUCAAGUGUUUGCUUGUUGACAUUCGAGGAAGGAUUGAAGGAGAAAUUGGAUCUUUUCCAUAUCAGAAAUCAGUGAAUCCGAGCCUGCCCAACCCAAAUAUGCCCAGUGCCAUUUUUAUGAAUCCGUGUAAUGUCCAAUGUGAUGAUCAGCUUUACUGCCUUCGUCCAGGGAUGGAUGGGAAAUGUGGAGAUGGUGCAGUGAUGAAUGGGCAGGAUUUUAACGGCUGUGGUUUUGAGAGUCUUCAGUGUUUUGCUAAUCAGGAUGGAGGAGCCAAGGAGCUUCCUGAUUGUGGACUUGGAAAUGGGGUGUCGAAUGUCAAUUCUUCCGGCACAAGUAAGAGGAAAAGAGGGACUCGUGCCGCAGCAGCAAACUGAAGUGCUCAGGAAGGAAGCACUGACAUUGUCCCAAAGAGUACAUAUAUCGUCAUGCAAUAAGUAGUUCUUCAAACUGUAGCAUCAGCUUUCAUUCAGAACUUAGGGAAGGUGGCAUGUGAUUUCUUUCAUGUUUCAGUACUAUGAGCUGCGAGCAGUAUAUUCCCCUUUGAGUGAUGCAUCUGGCCAUUGUGAAGGUCAAUGGAAACCCUAUUUCCACCAUUGGCGUGAAAAAUGACGAGGACGUCCGUAGGUUCAUUGCCUGCCUUUUGAUGGUCAGUCAGAUGAUGAGAAGAAUGUGCUUCUGCUAACCAACCCACCCAUUGAACUGAUGGUGAAUUUCUUAUAGUUCUUUUUCAUUUAUAUUAUGGGUAGAUUUUUAGUCCAAGUAUUUGAGCAUUUGGUCCAAGUAACCUGAUAUUCAUCACGAGGAAACGAACAUUAUAAAGUUUCUCCUUUUUGUUUCCAUUCUUGUCGGAUGAUUGAUUUGUGAAUGAGGGAAAAGGAUUUAAAGUGGUGGAAAAGAUGAUAUUUUGAGAGUAA